AAGUAAUGAUUUUGAAUCUAUUUGGGUUCAAAAAAAUCUGACUUUGUGGUAUAAAUGAAAAACUGGAUUGGGUUUAAAGAUGGUGUUUGUUCUCUUGUAAAAGAGAAAAAGGCACCGACCCAAGCUUUUUUUUAUCAACUCUCUUAUUAUUUGACUGAAUUUAUCAAGUUAAACCAUUUCGGUUUAAAAAAAAAGUUUAAA
rnacentral:misc_RNA from 1 species